rnacentral:lncRNA from 1 species
GUGCCAGAUGGAAUGGCUUAGGAUAUGCAUCUAAAGGAAGAAAAUGAGAACAUAUGCUGUUCUGAAGUUCAAUUUGGGUGGUAAUUAGACGAAAGGGAAAACAUGAUUUAUUUUAAUUGGAAAGAUUAAUAUGUGUGAGGACCCAAUUUGUAUUACUAGAAUGAUACUGUUUUGCAUCAGUGGAUUGGUGAUAUAUUUAGAUGUAUUUAUUACUGACACAUGGAAAUCAAAAUUGUAAUAGCUAGUUGGUUUCCAAUUUAGGGAGGAUGCUGAAUGUUAGUUAAGUGCAAGUCUGACGAGGUUGUACUGAUGGUAAACUUUGAUCAUCAUUUAUGGCUUCAUCAAUGUUGAUACUUGACGAAGAAGAUGAUGAAUUGGUCAAGAGUAUUUUGAAUAAAUAGGUUCAGGGCUUGACUGUUGAAGCAAAAUAUUUUUAUGCUAGUUUGUCUAACCCUAGUUGUUAUUCUUGGAGGACAAACUUUGUAUUAGUAGAAGGACAAAGAUGCUCUUGGAGUAACCAUCCUGAAGCUGAUGUAUGCAAUUAUGCAACUAGGAACAGAACAGGAGACUUCGGACUAUCUUUUCAUUAUUAGAGUUUGUACUGUGUCUGUGAAGGAUACUAGUCAUACAAGUCUUGCUCGUGUUAGUGUACCUCAGCUGUUUAAUCCAUUAGCAUGUUAUCAGAGACGACCAGAUGGAGAACCGUUUGCAUUGUAAGGGGCAUGUGCCAUAUUACUGCUACUUUUUGAUCCAUUUCUUUGUUGCGUGGUAAAUGACCAUCUGGUGAAGAAUUAAAGCUGAAAGAUUGAUGUCAUGUAAUUGAUUUUGUCAGAUGUAUUAAAGAUGUGAAAGAAAUAUUGGUAAAAAUAAUUGAAAAAGGCAAACGAUGUCUAGCGCCUACACAAAGUUAUGUUAGUUAGCAAAAGUGCCAAAUUUACUAGCCCUUGUGUACUUUCUAAUCUUUUUUGCCAUAUGAUCAGUCUUCAUGGUAUGAUUGCACGUACAUUGCUCUUGGUUUCUAAGGAUUGAAUUACUCUGGCUUAGGGGAACAGAGUAUCCUUCAGACUAAACUGUUCAAUGUAUAAGCUUGGAGAAGAUACUAGAGAAAGCCCUUUAGUGGUUUAGGUGCAUUGUGAUAGAGAUCCAUAGACAUUCACGAUGUACUAGAGAUGUUAGGGUUGGGACAUUGGAUUGACACUCUGUUGGCCAUUGUGCAUUAUAGGUUUAGAACUAUUUUCUCAUUAUUUUGUUAAAAAUAAUUUUCUAGAUCUAUUUGGUAUUGUUUGGUGAUUCACGAUUUAAUCGAUCUUUGUGUAUCACAUCAAAUCUUGGAAAUUGCACCAACCCCAACUUUUGAAGGGACAAA